GAACUGAAGAGUUUGAUCCUGGCUCAGAUUGAACGCUGGCGGCAUGCCUUACACAUGCAAGUCGAACGGCAGCACGGGUGCUUGCACCUGGUGGCGAGUGGCGAACGGGUGAGUAAUACAUCGGAACAUGUCCUGUAGUGGGGGAUAGCCCGGCGAAAGCCGGAUUAAUACCGCAUACGAUCUACGGAUGAAAGCGGGGGACCUUCGGGCCUCGCGCUAUAGGGUUGGCCGAUGGCUGAUUAGCUAGUUGGUGGGGUAAAGGCCUACCAAGGCGACGAUCAGUAGCUGGUCUGAGAGGACGACCAGCCACACUGGGACUGAGACACGGCCCAGACUCCUACGGGAGGCAGCAGUGGGGAAUUUUGGACAAUGGGCGAAAGCCUGAUCCAGCAAUGCCGCGUGUGUGAAGAAGGCCUUCGGGUUGUAAAGCACUUUUGUCCGGAAAGAAAUCC
rnacentral:rRNA from 2 species